ACUAAGGCUGCCUACUGGUGCAGGAAAAACUACUAUGCGCUAAACGCAAUGAUUGUUUGCGAUGCUGACCUCUGCAUUCAGAGCAUCGAUGCCACCUUCCCUGGCUCUGUCCACGACUCAUUUGUGUGGCGAAUGUCCUUCCUGAGGGAGGCAUUCCUGCAAGGGCAUGCCGUGCGAGAAAAUGAGUGCCUACUUGGGGACAGUGGAUAUCCACUUGAGCCAUGGCUCAUGACCCCCGAGCCAGGCAACCAUACAGCGG